UGGUGCCUAUACCCAUACAUUCUAAGUAUCCAACAUGAAGUUUUCCCACGUUUGGAACCUCAAACCAGGAGAAAUCAAUACUAGUCAUCCAAUUUGAAAGGUUCUGAGCCUCUGAAGCUGAUCACUAUCAAGUUUGCAUCUCUGGGCUUGUCAGACAAUAUGAACGCUUGGGUGUUGCAUGCCUUUCGUUUUUCAUUCCAAAUUCUUCUACCAUUCCAACAGUUGUAGUAACCCACAAAAUUCAUCUUCCAACAACUAUUCACAACAUUUUCCACUACUCUGGCAUUUUCAUAAGCUAGCUUAGCUGCCAUGACACAUAGAUCCAUGAGAUCUCUAUUAACCGUUUCUGUGAUUACCUCUGCAAUAGCUUUUUCAUUUAGCUGUUUUGUAAAUGAUCCAGUCACGCGCAGAUCGACUCUUGGAUCCAACCCUCCAAUGGUACUUAAAAAAUUUUCUGUGCCUCUUUCUGGUUUCUUCAGUUUUCCAAGAAAAAUGCUCAUGAAAAGGCCAAGGAAGCCACCAUUUUGAGAAAGCAAGUUGAGAUAGAACACAUAGCCAAGGUACAUCAAAGGCUUGUCAAUAAGAUCAAGCAACACUUGUAAGAACCAUGACAGCAAUAACAAACAAUAGUUAUUAAUUACUUCAAUG
rnacentral:misc_RNA from 1 species